AGUCCCGAAGAAUCGAUUUAAAAUUCAUGCAACCCAGAUGAGCUCACGAGACCAGCACCGCCAGAGGCGCUAGUGUAUUUAACUCACAUUUUGGUAAAUAUAUUUGAAAGUGUUUGCUCUACGUCAAGGCCUGUUGCUGAUUUGAGCUUCUAUUAUUUGUUGGAUUUUGACGAUUUGCGUCGGAAAUACAAGAGCUCUACUUCAGCACCGGAACAAGCCAUUUUACCAGUGCAGUGCGCACAUAUUUCUAAAGCAAGUGUCGUCGUUAACCAGGUAACCAGUACCAACAACAUCGCGUCCCGUGGACUACCGUGUGAAAGUAUUCACUCGCAGCAAGACAGUCAUCUAAGCAUCGAAAAAUGUAUGACCAAAAGUAGCAGCAAGGCUGGCAAAAAUGCCAAUCCAAACGGAAGUGCAAACCAUAGAGAUAACCCGGAAAACUCGCCGGAUAACGAAGCACCACUGCCAAAGUUUCAUCGAUCAGGUUAGUUAAGAUGGCAUCGGCCACCGCACUCGAGCCGUACUACAGUUCCGAAAUAUGCUGGAGAUAGUACUGAUCUCCGAUUCGACAACGGACAAACGUGAACAGGAAACUUUCCUUGCCGAAAAUCACAUGAGUUGACCCACAAGCAUCCGAUGGCUCGGAACCAAUGUUGAGCGUCAAUGUGUCACCAGCAAGGGGCUAUCUUCUUAAGUCGAAACUCACAUCACUUGACAUUCAAUUUUCGGUCGCCUGAUGUGACUCCAUACAGCGUUCAAGGAUGCAAAGUAAAAUGACUAAAGGCACAUUAGUAACUUGACAGCACAGGCCAUUCUUCAGGGUGCACCGGAUGUUACCAGUAUACACAUCUACUCCUGCGAAUGGUGGUUCCGGUAGAUUAUACGACUGGCGGUCACAUUUCGAUGGUCGAUGUCAUGCGCAACAUCUAUGAUUUGGCCAUUAACCUGUACGGAAGUCAGAUAGCCAUUGUAGAGAACCAGGAUGGAAGUGCAGGAAUCGGUUGUGCGAAUUUACAGCGUUGGCCAGAAGAAGAACACCGAAGAUGACGCAGGGGAGGAAAAAGAAGAGAUGGAGAACUCGGAGUAUUGGUCGAUUUAUUUAAAUGCAGCAUUUCCCAACCUGGAUUAGAACAACUUUAUUAAAUGCUAUUAUUUCCGAGAUUAUUUCGGAAGAAAAGGCUCAAGGAAGAAAACAGUAAUUCAUUUGUGCUAUCAAAUAAUAUUUUAUAGAACUCUAACAUGUCGGAUGUCGGUACUUGAACAAAUUAUAUAAAAUAAAUAAGCAAAGGCCAAUUUAGCCAAAUAAGACAAACGUUCUAUCUAGUUUUUAUUUAUCUCUAAUUAAUUAAAUUUAGAUUGAACUUAACUUCCCUUUAAUUUAAAUUGAUAUUAUUCAAAUAAAUUUACAUCACAAUUUAAUUCAAAUGUAAUUUCAUUUAAAUUCGAUACGAAUUUUAUACCAAUUUAUUUCUAUUCUAACAUCAUUUAAAUAUUUAGUAUAUAAGUUUAGUUUAUUAUUUUUCCCUAUUUAAUUUCAAUUGAGUUUUAAUUUACUUCAGUUCAAUUUUAAUUUCGAUUAUCUCUGGGCAUAAAAGUAUCAUGAUAUAUACAACUGCAAAAAUGGUUACAUGACCUUGAAUCCUCGCAGUUCAUAACUGUGAAAGCUCCUUGAUGAAACUAAGCUGCGAGGCGGCAAUGUCUCAGUGAGGGAUGCUAUGCCAAUAAUGAAGAAGAAAAUGCUAGGUGAGAACUUCAAUCUUAUUCGAUUCUCGAUCCAGUCUAGGAUGUUUUCGGAUGGAAAAGAUUAUCGACUCUCUGGGCAUAGUGUAUCCUUUGUACUUGCCAUAUAACAUACAUACUCAUGCGAAGACGGGCAUAGAAAGCUUUUAAUUAAUAACUGAGGAAACGUUAAUAGAAUACUACCGCAUACUACGUUGAAAAGCAGGCUAGAAGCAUUGUUAAUUUGGUUCAAAACCAAAUUAGUUUUCAUCUAGUUUUAUUUAUUAUAAUUUAUCUUCAAUUUUAUUUCAAGUCAAUUUGAAUUUAAUUUUAAUUUAUUUUCAAAGUUUAAUUGAAAUUCAAUUUGAAAAAAAUCCUAAUAUGAAAUAAAUUCCAAAGUACUUUGAAUUCUUCUUCUUAUUGGCAUUACAUCCCCACACUGGGACAGAGCCGCCUUGCAGCUUAGUGUUCAUUAAGCACUUCCACAGUUAACUGCGAGAUUUCUAAGCCUGGUUACCAUUUUUAAUAAUAUUUUAAUAAUUUACAAUUUAUUUAUUUACCUCCCGUUUUAAUAUAGCCUAACUUUUUCUAGAUUUAUUUUGAAAGCAUAAUAAUUUCAAUUUAGUUUAGAUUUAACUUUGGUGCAAUAAUUAUUCGAUUUAAAUGUAUGUUCCAUUCAAUGUUUUAUUUUUAUUUAAAUACAGAUACAAUUUCAAUUUGAUUGUUAGCAAAUUUCUAUUUAGUUUCAUUUAAAUUAUAAUCCAUUUCAAGUUUUAGUCU